GAGUAGUGGCAGAACGGUGUAUAUGGUGAGAAACCAAAGGCUUACUGUGGAUUCCCUGUCAGAAACUUCACCUCAGAAAAAAAGUGGGAGAAGGCAGCAAUAUACCUAAAGUGCAAUGUACACAGAAUAUUCACUUCAUAGCUUCAGAGGAAAAAAACAAAGCCCCAACACUAUACCAAAAACAUGAAGAGGAACAUUUCCUUCAUGACUGACAGAGCAUUCAUGUGAGCAGAACACAAAUGAAAGCAUAUUGGAGAUACCAUUUUUGAGACACUGUAACACUCUUGUGUUUCCUAUGGAAGCGGCUUUUGCAAAUGGCAACUGUUACCUUAUUUUUGAGCACUUUAAUUAUUUUCAAUCAAAUUUGAUAGAGGAAUAGCAAUAUCAAAAAUUUUAGGCAUCUAUAGGUGCCUAGAAUAUCCAGCAAGGAAAGGUAGAAGGACCAUCCAGCAAGGAAAAGACUUCUGUGUGAGUUCAUCGCUUCUCAGACAAGUGGCACUUCAUUUAUUCCAUCACCUAUGGAAAUUUGGUUUACUGAAUGAACUGAACUGAAUGUAGAAACACAGAGGAUUCAAAUAUGUAUUUGCUUUCUUUAUGUUGGGACAUCAUUUAAGCCAUAUAAAUAAUUUUUUAUGAUUUACUAGUAAGCAGUGACCAGUACAAAAUGUUUCAAACUUAUUUUCAGUUCACAUCCAGAAAAAAAGAUUUUUCUGAAGUACAAUAAAUUGGUGGAGGAUGUGUGUGCAUUCAGUAUGUUAUAUUGUUUUUUGGUCUGCUUUCUCACAGUAAUGGCUUGCCUGUUUCAGUCCUGUUAAGCUCUUGAUUGCUGUGACACAUUCUGUUAAUCAUUAUUUUAGAAUAGGAUGUUGAGUUGCAGGACUAUGCUGUCAAAAGAUAUG